CGGGAUACUUUGGUACAUUGGAGCCAGCUCUGCUGUCGAACACAGAGAUGUCUAGACGGCUUUCAGAUGUUGAAUACCUGCCUGUUGGUUCUUUCCUUUGGUGUAUUUGAAGGCUUGCCAAACACUCAGACCACACAGACACAAUGGAAUUGUGUGUCCAGACUGGUCCACCUCCAGUUUUACAAGUGAUUUGGUAGUAGCCGCUGGAAUCAUGAAUUGUUUAGCACAUCAUAACAACAUCUGCAUGCUUCCCAUUUCUAGUUCUCAUCAGAGUGAAACAUGGAACAAAACGUGAUGUUGAAGUCGUACUGCUUGACCAUGGACUAUACAUGCAUGUCAAUUCAAGUGAUAGGAAGGAGUUAUGUCAACUGUGGAAAAGUAUUAUUUUGAAAGACGAGGAGGGAAUGAAACAGCACAGUUUGAAUUUAGGAGUAGAAGAAUAUUUUUUCUUUGCUCAGAUGUUGAUUCAAAGACCGAUUAUUCGAAAUAGUGGUAGAAUGAGAUUUCUUACGAAGACGACGUUGACUAAAGAGGAUGUUGAUGAAAUCAGACGUGUCAUACAGAAACACAUGGACGUUGUUGUUCAAAUACUCAGGAAGUUACCGUCAUCGAUGUUGCUGGUAUUCAGAAACAUGAAUCAAGUACGAGCUGUCAACAAAGAACUGGGUACACCUGC